rnacentral:miRNA from 1 species
GGUCAGCUGACACAUCCCUGCCAAUCUCUGGCAGACCCUCCCUCCCAGACCCUCCCACCUCCUGGACAGCAUCCAUGUUGAAGCUGCCUUCAACCUGGAUGCUGUCCAGGAAGUAGGAGGGUCUGGGAGGGAGGGUCUGCCGGAGAUUGGCAGGGAUGUGUCAGCUG